rnacentral:misc_RNA from 1 species
AACUUUCGGCAAUGGAUCACUUGGCUCUCGCAUCGAUGAAGAACGCAGCGAAAUGCGAUAAAUAAUGUGAAUUGCAGAAUUCAGUGAAUCAUCGAAUCUUUGAACGCACCUUGCGCUCCUUGGUAUUCCGAGGAGCAUGCCUGUUUGAGUGUCAUUAAAUUCUCAACCUUCCAACUUUUAUUAGCUUGGAUAGGCUUGGAUGUGGGGGUUGCAGGCUUCAUCAAUGAGGUCAGCUCUUCUUAAAUGCAUUAGCGGAACUUUUGUGGACCGUCUAUUGGUGUGAUAAUUAUCUACGCCGUGGAUGAGAAACAGCAUUAUCAAGUUCAGCUUCUAACCGUCCAUUGACUUGGACAAUUUUGACAAUUUGACCUCAAAUCAGGUAGGACUACCCGCUGAACUUAAGCAUAUCAAUAAGCGGAGGCU